rnacentral:rRNA from 1 species
UGGGAAUAUUGGACAAUGGGCGCAAGCCUGAUCCAGCCAGCCGCGUGUGUGAAGAAGGCCUUUUGGUUGUAAAGCACUUUAAGCGAGGAGGAGGCUACUUGGAUUAAUACUCUAGGAUAGUGGACGUUACUCGCAGAAUAAGCACCGGCUAACUCUGUGCCAGCAGCCGCGGUAAUACAGAGGGUGCGAGCGUUAAUCGGAUUUACUGGGCGUAAAGCGUGCGUAGGCGGCUUCUUAAGUCGGAUGUGAAAUCCCUGAGCUUAACUUAGGAAUUGCAUUCGAUACUGGGAAGCUAGAGUAUGGGAGAGGAUGGUAGAAUUCCAGGUGUAGCGGUGAAAUGCGUAGAGAUCUGGAGGAAUACCGAUGGCGAAGGCAGCCAUCUGGCCUAAUACUGACGCUGAGGUACGAAAGCAUGGGGAGCAAACAGGAUUAGAUACCCUGGUAGUCCAUGGCCGUAAACGAUGUCUACUAGCCGUUGGGGCCUUUGAGGCUUUAGUGG